CUCCGUCAAAAAAAAAAAGAAAAGAAAAGAAAAAAGUAAGAAGUGCUCUCAAGGGACUGUGAGUCAGUACAUCUUAGAAAAACAGCAGCUAAACCUGUACUGAUAGAACUCUUGGUACUGGGGCUGAAGUCCUGCUGAUGGUGUGUCCAGAAGGAAACUGAGACAGCUCUCUGCCUUCAACAAUUCCAUCGUAGGCUGUCCGCUGGCUAUGUGGACGCUGGGGCAGAGCCAGGCCGGAGUCGAAUGAUCAGCCAGGAAGAGUUUGCCAGGCAGCUACAGCUCUCUGAUCCUCAGACGGUGGCUGGUGCCUUUGGCUACUUCCAGCAGGCAUCCAGUGCAUUGAAGAGCAAUGUUAUCAUCAUGAGGAGGAACAAGGGAGAAAUAAUCAGUAAGGACUAUAAAUUUCUGAAACCACUUUAGAGAGUGGCGAAGGUGGGGAAUCAUAAGACCUUUUGGGGUGCUGGGUGAGGGUCUUUGAAGGAGAGUCAUGAAGGUUACGUGGGAAGAUGACAUGUAGAAGAAACAACACCGGACAGUUAGAUGGUUGAGAGCUUGAGACCCAGCUAUAUCUGUAGGACUUGGGCAGAUUAUUUUAAAUAUCCUAUAGCUUCUCUAGAGGAAUUUUCUCAAGAUUCUUAGCAAGCC
rnacentral:lncRNA from 10 species